CCCCAGCUGACUCCUUUUCAGCUCUUGAUAGAUGUUUCCUGUCUCUGGUGGAACAGGUCCUAUAUUAAGAGGUCUUUUCAGUAAGAUAGCUUCAUUUCCCUUCAGCUCUUCAGCCUCCUUUCUGCCCAGAGGAUUUGAGGAAAGAUGAUGAAACAAUGCAUUUUUUUCCUGAGGAUAAAAACUGCUGAGGAAUCAUUAAAACCUUAGAAAUAGUCAAAAUCCAUAGGAUAAAUCUCCAGAUUCCUAGAGGUCCAAAGGUCUUCCAAUACAGAAGAACCACACUCUAGAAAUUUGACUCACAGAAGCACACCUGUUUCUAACAUCCAUGAUGAGCUCCUGGACUUAAAGCCUGAGGCUGAUACUGGAACUUUAAGUAAUUUUAUGCCAUGUUUUAAAACUACCACAAACUACCUCUGAUCAGAAAUUAUUUAGCAUUCUUCUCUGUCUGCCUGUAAAUCUGUAUAUGCUUAAGCAAUAGAAAACGACAGAAGUAAAGCUUAGCCAGUAGUAGAGUUCCAUAGGCAUUAAAAAAGAAAAAAAAUAUAACAACAACUUCUAGACUUCACUCUCCAACACUCUAGGGAUGGUUGCUCUUGGAAUCCAGACACCAUGGACGCUAGGCAUCAAACCACUCUCUGAAGAAACCCACAUUGAGAUCAACAUCAGUUUCCCAGCCAUUUAGAGAAGUGAUGUGGAUCUUCCAGCCCCAGUUGAUCCACCACUCCUAGAUACUGCCUUCUGAAUUUAAAACUUGUGAAAAUAUUAAAGAUGUCUAUUUUAGUGUUAGUAGGUAA